UUCAAUGUCCCGUAAAUUGGCUUCCUAGAGGGUAGUGCUCUCCCCAGCACAACUGAGCUUUUAGCAGACAGCAGCCGUUUCCAGUCAGGGGCAGACAGAGUUUGAAGCUGGAGGAGGUACAGUGUCAAGAGAUCUGGAGCCACCUGCUCCUUUUCCCUCCCUGCUGGUAUGUAACUUGUUGUGAUUGUCAAAUAAGCCAGCCAAGAGGACAUCACUGGUUCACUGUAAAUAAGCUUCCUCGGGAAGCCUCACAUGUCUCAGGACAGUGGAUGCUCGGAUGAGAUAAUGGAGGGAAUAUGCUUUGGAAAAUCCUUGCACACCAUUCAAAUGUGAGGAACUUACGUGGCAGCAAUGUGCGAGCAGGAAGGAAAACAGCUUUGCAGUCAAAUAAAUCUGCGUGCAGAGGCUCUCAGGGCAAGCCAGGCCUGCAGGGUCCUGAAUGUGAUGUUUGAUUCUCUGAAUCUCCAUUUCUUCAUCUUAAAAAAAACAACAGGAUAAGUGAUUCUCAGCUUAUAGCAUUGGUAUGGAUAUCAAAAGAGUGUUUUGUAAGUAAUAAAGCAGCCAUUUAUUAAGCCCCUGUUCUCUACAAGACACUGCAUCCAGGAGCUUAUGGAUUAAUUAGAAAUCCCCUAAUCACCCUGCAAGGUAAUUUUUAUCAUCUCUAGUCCCCACUGUAGGAAGUUCAGAGGCAUAGAACAAUUUGCUCAAGUGAUAAAGCGAGAAAUCCAAGCAGCUUCUGCCUGUAAGGACUUCCCUGUGGAUGAAUAUGGACAUGGCAGUUGCAUUUCGUGAACCUUAGUCAAGCCUAAAGCUCCAGCCUCCUGACUGUCAGCACUUUAGCUCCCUUCAUCUGCAUCCUUUUUUGUUUUUUAAACAAAGCUAAACCUUUGGCUAACCUGGCAAUCUAUGGAAGAGGGGUAAGUUCCACUAAGUGAUUUCAACAGGAUUGGAUUCCCUCCAUCCAGGUGCUUUUUGGCUUCAAUGGGAUGUGGAUCAGGAAAUUAUUUCUAGGUGUUUCCAUAAGGGAAGAGGAAAAGCUGCUGAAAGUUCAACUUUUGGACAAUCCAACAACAUCUGAAAUAUCAAAAACUAUCCUUCCAAAUGAAAACUAUCAACUCUUUUGCCUUUUUAUAAAAAAACUUUCUUUGAAGUUUUAGCCAAAGAUGAGAUAAAUGUGAAAGGUAAGGAAAGCAAAUUAAGUUUGAUUGCAACCGACCAUGUGCCCGUGUCUACAUGUACGGUCUCCCCCCUGCUCGCAGCAACCCUGUAUGGGAGGCCACUGUCAGAUGCAUUUUCACAUAAGAGCGCUCAGAAAGGGAAGCAUCUGUCUGAGAUCUGCACGGGGAUUUGGCAUUAAAGCCACAAUUCAAACCUUGGCCUGUUUGGUCCUGAAAUCUGGGUCUUCUUCCAGUCUGUGCUUCUUGGUCCACGUGUCUCCUGAUGGGAACUGGUGCAUCUUCAUUCUUUAAAGAACCCAUCCUUCAGUCCUGUAUAGCCCCGGAGAGAUCUGGCAAUUUCAAAAGAAAAAGGACUUUUAGCUUUAAGACUGCUUGGGACCACCAAAGUUCACUGCAGAGCAGAGGGGAGAGUUUUUCACACUGCUGGCGUUUUGUUGGAGCAAGACGAUAUGAAUCACAGAUGGCUUCCUCGGCAGAUGUGGCCCUGCAGAACUACAGGGCUGGUUUAUAAGGGGUUUAAUGAAAACCUGGCACCCUUCCAGACCUGAAUCAAUCCUCUGGGGCUCUCGGCUUCUGCACACACAGACCAAUCUGCAAAUGUGCACCCUGUCGAUGGUGUGGGGAAUAUUGGGGUGAAAAGUUCUUACCUGAAAAACAAAGCCAAACUGAUCUGGCCAAGUUCACAGGCUUGGGGCCUGGGAGAUGGAACAGUGGUUUGGAAGGGAAGUUGGUAGGGGGAGAGCAGCUGCAUCUGGAGCAUGGCCAGACGGCCACUGCCCAACUGGGGGUGAUCUGGGCUCAGGUAGAACAAUGACUUCCCCAGAUGCUUGGGGUGCAUGGUACUGUCUUCCUUACUUCUUGGGUUAGGAGUAAGCAGGAGCCGCAGUGGGAGAUAAGGAACACCGGAAUAGUAUCCAUUUAGUGUGUGCUGUAGACCGAAACUGGGCUUGCCUCCUCUUGAAAUGCUCUUACUCAUCAAAUGGUCAGCUGUUAUUUUUCACUUGUUGUGUUUUUCCAUCAAUGUCAUUCCUUAGGGGAAGGCUUCCUUGAUCAUUUCCCUCCAAGCUCUUUGCCAUAUUCUAUCUUGGCCGUGCAUUUCAUGGCAUAUCAAUUUAUUUGCUUAUUUGCUUGCUGUUGUAGCUCUUUAGUAAAAUAUAAACUCCUUGGGGGGUAGGUACUCUGUUCAUCUUGUUGGCCAACACAGCACAGUUCCUGGUGGAGAACCUGGUGCAUAGUGAACAGGCAAUAAAUAUUGUCAGAUGAGGGUGCGUACAGGUGAAACUUACUAAAUGCAGAAUAUAAAUGUCUGAACACAAUAAGUAAGAAAAUGCCAUGAAAGCUAUGUUAACCAGUGUGAUGAAAAUAUUUCAAAUUGUAUAUAAAACCAGCACAUUGUAC